rnacentral:rRNA from 1 species
AUUGAACGCUGGCGGCAGGCCUAACACAUGCAAGUCGAGCGAGCGGCGGACGGGUGAGUAAUGUAUGGGGACUGCCCGAUAGAGGGGGAUAACUACUGGAAACGGUGGCUAAUACCGCAUACUAUCGGAUAACCCAUAUGGGAUUAGCUAGUAGGUGGGGUAAAGGCUCACCUAGGCGACGAUCUCUAGCUGGUCUGAGAGGAUGAUCAGCCGACCUGGGACUAGAACACGGCCGCGACACGUCGGGAGGCAGAAGGGGGGAAUAUUGAACAUUGGGCGAAGGCCUGAAGGAGCCAUGCGGGGGGAAUAAAGAAGGCAUUAGGGUUGUAAAGUUCUUUCAGCGGGAGGGCGUUACCCGCAGAAGAAGCCCCGGCUAACUCCGUGCCAGCAGCCGCGGUAAUAC